UACGGAGGGUGCAAGCGUUAAUCGGAAUUACUGGGCGUAAAGCGUGCGUAGGCGGUUCGUUAAGUCUGUUGUGAAAGCCCGGGGCUCAACCUCGGAAUUGCCUUCAAUACUGGCUGUCUUGAGUGUGAGAGAGGUGUGUGGAACUCCGAGUGUAGAGGUGAAAUUCGUAGAUAUUCGCAAGAACACCAGUGGCGAAGGCGGCUCACUGGCCCGAUACUGACGCUGAGGCACGAAAGCGUGGGGAGCAAACAGG
rnacentral:rRNA from 1 species